rnacentral:rRNA from 1 species
GGACCCGCACAAGCGGUGGAGUAUGUGGUUUAAUUCGAUGCAACACGAAGAACCUUACCAGGGUUUGAAAUCAUUUCAAAACUCCUUGAAAGAGGAGCCUCCUUCGGGAUGAAAUGACAGGUGGUGCAUGGCUGUCGUCAGCUCGUGUUGUGAAAUGUCGAGUUAAGUCUCGUAACGAGCGCAACCCAUGUCUCUUGUUGCUCACUGAGUGCUUAAGAGAGACUGCCGACCAACAUCGGAGGAAGGUGUGGAUGAUGUCAAGUCAGCAUGCCCCUUACAUCCUGGGCUACACACGUGCUACAAUGGCCGGUACAGAGGGCAGCCACACCGCAAGGUGGAGCG